CUGGCUCAGGAUGAACGCUGGCGGCGUGCCUAACACAUGCAAGUCGAACGGGGUUAAGGGAAAUUUCGGAUGGAACUUAACUAGUGGCGGACGGGUGAGUAACGCGUGGAUAACCUGCCUCACACUGGGGGAUAGCAGCUGGAAACGGCUGGUAAUACCGCAUAAGACCACAGCACCGCAUGGUGCGAGGGGUAAAAGAUUUAUCGGUGUGAGAUGGAUCCGCGUCUGAUUAGCCAGUUGGCGGGGUAACGGCCCACCAAAGCGACGAUCAGUAGCCGGCCUGAGAGGGUGAACGGCCACAUUGGGACUGAGACACGGCCCAAACUCCUACGGGAGGCAGCAGUGGGGAAUAUUGCACAAUGGGCGCAAGCCUGAUGCAAGCAACGCCGCGUGAGUGAAGAAGUAUUUCGGUAUGUAAAGCUCUAUCGGCAGGGAAGAAAGGCCCGAAAGGGAGAUGACGGUACCUGACUAAGAACGCCCCGGCUAACUACGUGCCAGCCGCCGC
rnacentral:rRNA from 1 species